rnacentral:rRNA from 1 species
UACGUAGGGUGCAAGCGUUAUCCGGAAUCGCUGGGCGUAAAGCGUGCGUAGGUGGCGUGUUAAGUGUGAUGUUAAAUCGUGUGGCUCAACCAUAUCGAUGUGUCGCAUACUGGCAUGCUAGAGGACGGCAGAGGCAAGUGGAAAUUGGUAGUGUAGCAGUGAAAUGCGUAGAUAAUUACCAGGAACACCAAUGGCGAAGGCAGCUUGCUGGGCCACUCCUGACACU